UAAACUAGGAUUAGAUACCCUAUUAUUAUAUAUGUUAAUUUUUACUAGGGUAUUAUUAGCUAUGUUCUUUAAACCUAAAGAAUUUGGCGGUGUUUUAAUCUAUUUAGAGGAAUUUGUACUAUUAUCGAUAAUCCUCGAUUUAUCUUGCUUUAUUUUGUUUAUCAGUAUGUAUACCGCCGUUAUAAGUUUAUUUUAUUAGAAUUAUUAAUUUACUUUUUUCUUUAAUAAGAUUUAUUUCAGU
rnacentral:rRNA from 1 species